rnacentral:rRNA from 1 species
UACGUAGGGUGCAAGCGUUAAUCGGAAUUACUGGGCGUAAAGCGUGCGCAGGCGGUCGUGCAAGACAGAUGUGAAAGCCCCGGGCUCAACCUGGGAAUUGCAUUCGAGACUGAAUAGCUAGGGUACGGUAGAGGGAAGUGGAAUUUCCGGUGUAGCGGUGAAAUGCGUGGAUAUCGGAAGGAACAUCAGUGGCGAAGGCGGCAUCCUGGGCCGGUAUUGACGCUGAGGAGCGAAAGCCAGGGGAGCAAACGGG